rnacentral:rRNA from 1 species
UACGUAGGGGGCGAGCGUUGUCCGGAAUUAUUGGGCGUAAAGAGCGUGUAGGCGGCCAGGUAGGUCCGUUGUGAAAACUCGAGGCUCAACCUCGAGACGUCGGCGGAAACCCUCUGGCUAGAGUCCGGAAGAGGAGAGUGGAAUUCCUGGUGUAGCGGUGGAAUGCGCAGAUAUCAGGAGGAACACCGGUGGCGAAGGCGGGUCUCUGGGCCGACAUUGACGCUGAGGAGCGAAAGCGUGGGGAGCGAACAGG